UCUUUGGAGAGUUUGAUCCUGGCUCAGGACGAACGCUGGCGGCGUGCCUAAUACAUGCAAGUCGAGCGGACCGAACGAGGGCUUGCUCUUGUUUGGUCAGCGGCGGACGGGUGAGUAACACGUGGGCAACCUGCCCGCAAGACCGGGAUAACUCCGGGAAACCGGAGCUAAUACCGGAUAACACCGAAGACCGCAUGGUCUUCGGUUGAAAGGCGGCCUUU
rnacentral:rRNA from 1 species